rnacentral:rRNA from 1 species
CACGUAGUUAGCCGGCGCUUCUUCUGCAGGUACCGUCACUUUCGCUUCUUCCCUGCUGAAAGAGGCUUACAACCCGAAGGCCGUCAUCCCUCACGCGGCGUCGCUGCAUCAGGCUUUCGCCCAUUGUGCAAUAUUCCCCACUGCUGCCUCCCGUAGGAGUCUGGGCCGUGUCUCAGUCCCAGUGUGGCCGGUCGCCCUCUCAGGCCGGCUACCCGUCGUCGCCUUGGUGAGCCAUUACCUCACCAACUAGCUGAUAGGCCGCGGGCUCAUCCUGCACCGCCGGAGCUUUCGAUCAUCCAAGAUGCCUAAGAUGAUCAGUAUCCGGUAUUAGACCCCGUUUCAGGGCUUGUCCCAGAGUGCAGGGCAGAUUGCCCACGUGUUACUCACCCGUUCGCCACUAAUCCCCACGAGUGGUUCAUCGUUCGACUUGCAUGUGUUAAGCACGCCGCCAGCGUUCGUCCUGAGCCAGGAUCAAACUCU